UGGUUUUUAGGUUCAGAGUCAAUGUCAUUAUUCUUUUCACUAUGUUUGUUCUAACAUACCAUUGCCAUUUCUUUUCUUUUUCAGCUCAGUUACUCAGUUCUUUUUGUUUUUGGUUAUGUAUCCAACUGAGUGUUUUUCAUUUGGUGAUUGAUUUUUUUUGUUCCAUCGAUUUUCUAUUAUAUUUUCUCUUUCUUUUGUUUCCUUUUUUUUUCAAUGGUCGUUUUUCUUAUAUUCUCCGCACUCACCUUACUUUCAGUUUCUU
rnacentral:lncRNA from 1 species